rnacentral:rRNA from 1 species
GGUUAAGCGACUAAGCGUACACGGUGGAUGCCCUGGCAGUCAGAGGCGAUGAAGGACGUGCUAAUCUGCGAUAAGCGUCGGUAAGGUGAUAUGAACCGUUAUAACCGGCGAUUUCCGAAUGGGGAAACCCAGUGUGAUUCGUCACACUAUCAUUAACUGAAUCCAUAGGUUAAUGAGGCGAACCGGGGGAACUGAAACAUCUAAGUACCCCGAGGAAAAGAAAUCAACCGAGAUUCCCCCAGUAGCGGCGAGCGAACGGGGAGCAGCCCAGAGCCUGAAUCAGUGUGUGUGUUAGUGGAAGCGUCUGGAAAGGCGCGCGAUACAGGGUGACAGCCCCGUACACAAAAAUGCACAUACUGUGAGCUCGAUGAGUAGGGCGGGACACGUGGUAUCCUGUCUGAAUAUGGGGGGACCAUCCUCCAAGGCUAAAUACUCCUGACUGACCGAUAGUGAACCAGUACCGUGAGGGAAAGGCGAAAAGAACCCCGGCGAGGGGAGUGAAAAAGAACCUGAAACCGUGUACGUACAAGCAGUGGGAGCACAGAGCAAUCUGUGUGACUGCGUACCUUUUGUAUAAUGGGUCAGCGACUUAUAUUCUGUAGCAAGGUUAACCGAAUAGGGGAGCCGAAGGGAAACCGAGUCUUAACUGGGCGUUAAGUUGCAGGGUAUAGACCCGAAACCCGGUGAUCUAGCCAUGGGCAGGUUGAAGGUUGGGUAACACUAACUGGAGGACCGAACCGACUAAUGUUGAAAAAUUAGCGGAUGACUUGUGGCUGGGGGUGAAAGGCCAAUCAAACCGGGAGAUAGCUGGUUCUCCCCGAAAGCUAUUUAGGUAGCGCCUCGUGAAUUCAUCUCCGGGGGUAGAGCACUGUUUCGGCAAGGGGGUCAUCCCGACUUACCAACCCGAUGCAAACUGCGAAUACCGGAGAAUGUUAUCACGGGAGACACACGGCGGGUGCUAACGUCCGUCGUGAAGAGGGAAACAACCCAGACCGCCAGCUAAGGUCCCAAAGUCAUGGUUAAGUGGGAAACGAUGUGGGAAGGCCCAGACAGCCAGGAUGUUGGCUUAGAAGCAGCCAUCAUUUAAAGAAAGCGUAAUAGCUCACUGGUCGAGUCGGCCUGCGCGGAAGAUGUAACGGGGCUAAACCAUGCACCGAAGCUGCGGCAGCGACGCUUAUGCGUUGUUGGGUAGGGGAGCGUUCUGUAAGCCUGCGAAGGUGUGCUGUGAGGCAUGCUGGAGGUAUCAGAAGUGCGAAUGCUGACAUAAGUAACGAUAAAGCGGGUGAAAAGCCCGCUCGCCGGAAGACCAAGGGUUCCUGUCCAACGUUAAUCGGGGCAGGGUGAGUCGACCCCUAAGGCGAGGCCGAAAGGCGUAGUCGAUGGGAAACAGGUUAAUAUUCCUGUACUUGGUGUUACUGCGAAGGGGGGACGGAGAAGGCUAUGUUGGCCGGGCGACGGUUGUCCCGGUUUAAGCGUGUAGGCUGGUUUUCCAGGCAAAUCCGGAAAAUCAAGGCUGAGGCGUGAUGACGAGGCACUACGGUGCUGAAGCAACAAAUGCCCUGCUUCCAGGAAAAGCCUCUAAGCAUCAGGUAACAUCAAAUCGUACCCCAAACCGACACAGGUGGUCAGGUAGAGAAUACCAAGGCGCUUGAGAGAACUCGGGUGAAGGAACUAGGCAAAAUGGUGCCGUAACUUCGGGAGAAGGCACGCUGAUAUGUAGGUGAAGUCCCUUGCGGAUGGAGCUGAAAUCAGUCGAAGAUACCAGCUGGCUGCAACUGUUUAUUAAAAACACAGCACUGUGCAAACACGAAAGUGGACGUAUACGGUGUGACGCCUGCCCGGUGCCGGAAGGUUAAUUGAUGGGGUCAGCGCAAGCGAAGCUCUUGAUCGAAGCCCCGGUAAACGGCGGCCGUAACUAUAACGGUCCUAAGGUAGCGAAAUUCCUUGUCGGGUAAGUUCCGACCUGCACGAAUGGCGUAAUGAUGGCCAGGCUGUCUCCACCCGAGACUCAGUGAAAUUGAACUCGCUGUGAAGAUGCAGUGUACCCGCGGCAAGACGGAAAGACCCCGUGAACCUUUACUAUAGCUUGACACUGAACAUUGAGCCUUGAUGUGUAGGAUAGGUGGGAGGCUUUGAAGUGUGGACGCCAGUCUGCAUGGAGCCGACCUUGAAAUACCACCCUUUAAUGUUUGAUGUUCUAACGUUGACCCGUGAUCCGGGUUGCGGACAGUGUCUGGUGGGUAGUUUGACUGGGGCGGUCUCCUCCUAAAGAGUAACGGAGGAGCACGAAGGUUGGCUAAUCCUGGUCGGACAUCAGGAGGUUAGUGCAAUGGCAUAAGCCAGCUUGACUGCGAGCGUGACGGCGCGAGCAGGUGCGAAAGCAGGUCAUAGUGAUCCGGUGGUUCUGAAUGGAAGGGCCAUCGCUCAACGGAUAAAAGGUACUCCGGGGAUAACAGGCUGAUACCGCCCAAGAGUUCAUAUCGACGGCGGUGUUUGGCACCUCGAUGUCGGCUCAUCACAUCCUGGGGCUGAAGUAGGUCCCAAGGGUAUGGCUGUUCGCCAUUUAAAGUGGUACGCGAGCUGGGUUUAGAACGUCGUGAGACAGUUCGGUCCCUAUCUGCCGUGGGCGCUGGAGAACUGAGGGGGGCUGCUCCUAGUACGAGAGGACCGGAGUGGACGCAUCACUGGUGUUCGGGUUGUCAUGCCAAUGGCACUGCCCGGUAGCUAAAUGCGGAAGAGAUAAGUGCUGAAAGCAUCUAAGCACGAAACUUGCCCCGAGAUGAGUUCUCCCUGACCCUUUAAGGGUCCUGAAGGAACGUUGAAGACGACGACGUUGAUAGGCCGGGUGUGUAAGCGCAGCGAUGCGUUGAGCUAACCGGUACUAAUGAACCGUGAGGCUUAACCUU